CUGCAGCCUAUUAAGCCGACUGAGUUCCUUUCCUCAUGGGGGCCCAGUGUGCAAUGGCUACAAACAGCAGCUUCCUUGGUAGUGUAUGCAGCCUGUUUGUUGUAUCGGUUGCUCUAAGGGACCUUGGAGACAGUC
ensembl:snoRNA SNORA70 Small nucleolar RNA SNORA70